UAUGUAAGCCACUCUGCUGCCUGUUUGUUACCUCUAGUGGCAUGGCAACAAGAGACACACAGCCAGCCUGAAAUGGAGCCAUUUUAAGAGGAGUUAUGUGAACAGGAGGACUGAGCAUUGAUCUGCUCCAAAAGCCAAGGACCAAUCAUACUGGGCGUCUGUCCGGCCCGGGUGAAUGACUGACAGAUGAAAUGGCUAAAUGACAGGCGUGUGUGUGGAGCGAAGGUGAUGGGGGCAGGGAGGACUGCUGCUGACGGUGGAACACGGACACGGUACUCUGGACCACAACUGAAAAGCGAGCUUGAAUAAACUCCACCUGAAGCAGUAAACCCUCCAGAUGUGCACAUUCAACUAAAACAGUAUCUCUAAAACCCCACAAAAGGAACAUCCCCCCUCUACUGCAGGAUCCAGGUGUGCCUUAUAGUAACCGUCUGUUCUCGGCCAUCACCCCCAUGCAUGACCCUUCCCCACUGAUCACCUGAUCUUUUCAAUGGAUCAACAGGGGGCUUGUGCAGGCCCUCCAGCUACCUUUCAGAAAAGAAAUAUAGAGGGAAAGAGAGACGAGGAAGGGAGAGGGGGAAAUCAACAGAGAGAAAAAGAAUGAGAAAUGUGCUGCCCUCCUCAAGUCACCCUCCACGGGAAUGAAUUCUUUAAUUAAAAUGCAGCACAAUGGAAAGCAUUCACCCCUGAAAGUGUUAAAAUCAGAAAGGAAACUAAAGGCAGAGGUGGAAAAUCUGACUAAAGGAAUCUAGUAGUGAGAGAUGAAUAGGAGGACAGAAGUGUAUAAUAACAGUUUUUUUUUAUAGUGAGCAGGCCUGCUGUUCAAAUUCACUUUUUUAUUAUUAAAAAAAAAACCCUUUUGUCCAGAGCAGCCACCUUGUGUAUCGGUGAGGCUCAUAUGAUGAUUUCAACUGCUAUGGUAUAACAUGGAUGGCCAAAG